UACGUAGGGGGCAAGCGUUGUUCGGAUUCAUUGGGCGUAAAGGGUGCGUAGGCGGCGCGGUUAGUCGGGUGUGAAAUCUCGGAGCUUAACUCCGAAACUGCAUUCGAUACUGCCGUGCUUGAGGACUGGAGAGGAGACUGGAAUUUACGGUGUAGCGGUGAAAUGCGUAGAUAUCAGGAAGAACACCUAUGGCGAAGGCAGCUCUCUGGGACGGUACUGACGCUGAGGAGCGAAAGCGUGGGGAGCGAACAGG
rnacentral:rRNA from 1 species